rnacentral:rRNA from 1 species
UCCGGGGGGGGCAAGCGUUAUUCGGAAUUACUGGGCGUAAAGGGCGCGUAGGCGGGCUUACAAGUCUGACGUGAAAGCCCACGGCUCAACCGUGGAAUGUCGGGAGAUACUGUCAGUCUUGAAUCCAGAAGAGGAAGGUAGAAUUCCCUGUGUAGCGGUGAAAUGCGUAGAUAUUGGGAGGAACACCGGUGGCGAAGGCGGCUUUCUGGACUGGUACUGACGCUGAGGCGCGAAAGCGUGGGGAGAAAACGGG